AGUUGAGCAGAGAAUGUCUCUCUGUGGGGAUCGGGCCCCUAUGCAUUUGUCCAUGUCUGGGGCGGUUGCUGUGAUCGCACUGGACCGUUGUCUGCAGGAUGAGAAAUCUUACUGGCAAAUUUGAGUUAGGAUGUGCGUGGCUGCAUUGAUGAUGAACUGGGGCUGUAGAGCUGAGUGGUGACCUGAGAGCAGAGGACCGAGAGGCAUUGGUACAAUGCCCAUCUAGGAGCUUUAGCUCUGCCAGAUGUUCCGAGCUAGCCCCCCUGAUGUCGUUUGACCCCACUUUGACUACGACAGCAUCAGCUCCCGGCAUCUGCACUAGGACAGUCGGAAGCAGCCUUGUGAUGUCCUGUACUUGUGCUCCUGGGUAGCACAGGGUUUUUGCUUUGGGAACCGAGAUGUUUCUCACCAUAGAGCUGCCGAUAAUGACAGCUGGUGAUGUUGAAUGGGCCGGUUUCUAGGGCAAUCUCACUGUCUGAUGAGGUUGAGAGUGUUCAGGAUCUGAACCCGAGGUAAGAAGCCACCUGAAAGGGAGACAAAACAGAGGACACAGGUACCUCCGGAUCCGAUCUCGAAUGGGAAGCCCCUAAGGAAGAAUGUGACGGAACCUCUGGAUCCAGGGCGGCAAAACCAUUUCUGGUCGGUGUCAGGUCCGGGCUUAACAUCUCCAAGGAGGACCCUGUUGCCAGAGGACGCUUUCUUCGACUUCCACGAGGUUCAGGACAUCAGAACUGGGAUUACUCACGUCAAAUUGGACGAGGAGUUCUUCUUCAAUGAGUCGGACGCGAGGGGUAUACUACAAACACCCGACCAGGCCCAGAACCCUGU
ensembl:lncRNA